GCCAGCCCAGGACCAAUCUUUGAAAUGAUUGAUACGCAAUUGACCUGUGAGGAGGACAAGCACUAGUUCAAAUAAAUGGUGCAGAUGCAUAGGGUGCAGCCUGUCCGCUUUGAGUUGAUUACUGGAUUCCAGCACGUACUGGCAGCGAAAUACAAGUUCCUCCAAGGGGUGCCCCGUAAAACCCAAAAGGCCCCACCCCGCACGCUCCCGUCUACCCGUCGCCGCGGCCCGGCCAGGCGGCCUCUGUGGCUCGCGCGCCCACGCCACCGAAAUCCAAGCUCGCCCCUCCUCCCCCGUCAGCGUCCCCGCCGUCGCGCGAGCCCGGCGCACGCGUCCCUCGAAGAUCUCGACGAGCCCCGCCAGUCGGCGCCCAUUUGGAUUUGCGCGGUCGCGGUGACCGCGGCGAGACUGGAGCGUGGCGGACGAAGCCGGAGCGCGCGAUUCGGGCACAAUUGGACGGCAAUCGGCGGCGACGGCGGCUUAACAGCUUCUCCAGGCUUGCAAACAACAGUACCUGAAGUGAAGAAGGAGAUACACCAGGAUUAUCUCCGAGAACUUAAUGAUGAAUUUCAUCUGGAUGGAAUCACAACUUUGAUGUUAGGUUUCAGGCUUACUAUGCCAACUGCGAGUUAAAUUCUUAUCUUGUGUCUCUGGUCCCUCACUCCCUCUUCUCAGUUUGGUGAUCCAGGCUGACUUCUGUUUUCUAAUAUAAACCUGUCGGAACGCGGAACACACUGUCAUUGUUUGCUAGGAAUAAUUUAAUGCUGUUAAUUCUGUAUAACAAUAUAUAGUGCUGGUGAUUUGUGUGAGUAGCUAGCCACCAGUAGGCAGCAGUAACUCUAGUUAAUCAUAUGGGUGUAUAUUCAGAAAACAUUCUGUUUGCUAUAGGAAUAAUCUUAUGGCACAUUUGUCUUCAGCAGAAACUGCAUGUGUUGCUUUUCAUCCUUUAUAUGACAUCAGACACCAUCAGCUGCGAUUUGAAAUAAUACCAUGUUCCUGUCACAGCUUCUGCUGUUCUACAUAAGUGUUUCAGUUAAGUAGACCUGUUUCCAAGUUAGUUACGGUAAGUACAUAUCAUACACACUAGUUUGAAGUAUCAAUUAUGUAUGCAAUUUUGAAUGAGUACUUCCCAAGGAUCCUUCAGUAUCAAUCACAAUAUUUCCCCGUUAUUUGAUAUUAGCAAACUUAUGGGGAACUAUAUCAGAGUGAAUUCUUGUAUGCAUUGUGAGAGAAAAUGGAAGUUCAGUUUAUGUUACUAUUACACAGAUUCAUGUAAUUAUUCUGCAGUAUAAUCUAAGCACACGUUUGGUAGGGAAUGGAAAGAGGAGGUACUCGCAAUCUUCCUUAGAUAUGACCACCAAAAGUCACAUGAGUCUCCUUUAUAGCUGUAUCACUUAUUUUAUGAAUUAGCAUCACCAAGAGAACUAUUUUCUCCUGAGCCAUCCUUUCAUUAUUCUGCGAAAAAGAGGUACAUGUGCAUUUGGUCAAAGUAUCUUCCAUUAUGUUACUCUAACUAGAAAAUAAUAUAAGUUGAGCUGAACCUUGUAGGUAGUACUUAAUAGUUAGCAGAGCGUAUUUCUUCCAGUAUGUCUUUUCCCUUCUGCUGGGUUACUAUCUCCUAUGGGGAAAUGAUGAAACUUGAUAUGUUUCAUCAUUUUUUAAUUUGUUCAAAAUACAUAAAACUUGUUUGUCAUCAUCCUUGUUUGCCAGAGUUUUAUUAUCUUAUACUGAUAUCCUGGCUAAUGUUGAGUUGGCAAAUUAAUGAGCUACACCUUUUUUUGGAAUAUGUUACUUUUUAGUCCCUUUGAACUAAAUAAUGCUCUUCUGGCUUGAUAAAAAAAAUGGUGCAUGUUCUUUAGAGUAACACAAAUCAGUCUCAUACAGAGAUCUAUAGUUUCAUUACGAUCUUAUUUAUUUAUUUUAAUAAAAAAAGGAUUUCUCACUGAGCUUCAUUAACAACUACCUAUGCAUCCUCAUUUAAUAUUCUGUGUUUAUAUGCACGCUCUCCGUGAUGGAUAGUGUAGGCGCCCAUAUCCGAAUAUUGUGCACCUAUAUGAUCUCAAAGAUAUGAAAGCACAGACAUACUCACAGAAAUAUCCAAGUAUGUAUUACUUCAAUUUUCAUGCUGAAAAAUUAUGUUGUUGAUUUUGUCUGUAUACUUUGUCUUUCUAAACUAGUGAAUAGUGAUGAUCAAUGAUCAAAAUGCUAUAUAGUCCUGAGUAUUGCAUGUCAACAACACGUAGUUCAUUCCUAUUGGCACCAUGUGGAGUUUAUGUCUAAUGCUAUUCCUUGCACACAUGCAUGAAUUUGCAAACCUGACAAUUGAUAGCUCUCUAAGAUGCAAUUAGUAUUACCUGUAUGGAGGGAGAAACACCGGGAAAGUUCAUGUUUCUCCAGGCCAUGGAAGAGCAAUACACAAGAAGUCGAGAAUAAGGUGUAGCCAAGGACGGACUUGCCGGGCAACUGGCAAUCAUGUGUAGAUUACCACCUCAAUCUGUGCUGCCGGCAAGUCAUCCUUGGCUGCAUUCCACUCUCUGCCUCUUUGUGCAUGGCCCUUGCGGCAGUGAACCCUUCACUCCUCAUCUCCCAGCUAGCUUUGGAGGUGCUUCUGGUAUAUAUUGAGGGGAGGGUAUUUAUAGGCAGGGCUACAAGUUGAUCUGGACAAUGCUGAAGUUUUCUUUUGAUUUCUUUUAGAAAGGUAUUGGCAUAACUUUCCUAUUCUUUGAGUGAAGAUGGUGACCUAUCCAUAUAUUGGGGCUUUCUGGAUUUCCAAUUUCUAAUAAUAUUUGUGGACCAAAAGGCUUGCCGCUGGCAUCUAUAGAAUUGUUUUGUUAGGCCGAUUAUGUGAGGUAUCUAGGUUGGAUGGGGCUCAGUCUACAGUGGAUUCCAGGGCUCUUGAUUAGAGUAUAGUAUCAUAGUGGAAAACAUUAGUGCUGCUAUACAGUAAGGUAGUUUCUGAUUUUCAACCUGUCUAAUAUGGCUUUCAUCAUGUUGUAAUUUGCAUCAUCACAUGAUACUGGACCCAUGCUUCUGUUUAACAAAGGAAUAUAACAUGGCUCUGGUGGUGCUUGGGUAGGAGGUGCUUCUGGUUCAGCAUGAGCAUCUAUUACUGGGAUGAUAUUGGUUUCCAUUUUUGGCUUCUUUGAUGGCUCUGAUGUUUCUUACUUAGGUGGACCUUUCUGUUUCUGCCAUAUACGCUCACUAUAACAUGGACCUUUAGUUUCUGGAUCAUUAUUUGAUGAUAUACACAAAAGGUUGUAAGCUCAAUCACAUGUACAGGAUCAGGGGAAACUUCCACUGUGUCUCUGAAACACUUCGAAUGUUUUGUGGCGUACUGCUCACUUAGAAAAAGCUUCACUGCCAGCUCCUGUUGUCAUGUGGGAAUCAUGAGUAGAUCAAGUUGGUGAAUUGUUGUAAUUCCUCGAUCUCCAAGGCUUGAAAACUUAUCUGAGAUGGGUUUAUUUUAUUUUGGGAGAUCCGGCUUGGCCAUCCGCAGAUGUAUUUGAAUCCAAAUUUGUUUGGCAUGUUGAGAAACAAAAAGCACAAACUCUGACGUGAAGUACUAGUACACAAACACAAUAAAUUUGAAUUAGUUGCUAUUCACAUCAGGGUUUACUGUUCUUGUUUCUCGAUCUAUGGACCGAAUUUGAAUUUGUAAUUUUGUGCCAUGGUUGAUACACCUCAGGUCAAUAUUGUCAAAACUUUCAUUACAAUUCGAGCUGUUAAUUGUGUCUUUAGUGCACUACUACGCUAAUCACCCUGUUUACAUGUAUGUUUCAAAGAUAUUUCUUAUUACCCCUAUUCUAAUCAUUUGUAUGGUAGGAGUAGAUUUAUGAUUCAUUUUUUGUCAAAUUAUGUCUUCGUCAAUAUGAGUAUGGGUUAAUCCUUGUUAAUUCAGCAUAUUAAUCUGAAGCUUGGACUUACUAAUCUAUUUUCUUCAUCCUCUAUGCAUUGUUCGGAGUUAAUAUCUUUGUCGUCUGGUCACUAAUAUUGGACUAAUUUCAAAGAAUAUAGGCUGGAAUCACUGGGUCAGUGUUACGAUAAAAGAGCAAGAUAUUAUUUUACUUCUAACAUACCCACACAUAGAGCUGGAGAGAUGUGAUGUCAAGUAGAGGUGGAACUGCUGGAGAUGCAGACCUCUCAAAACUGGAAUGUUAUGUCAAGUAGAGGUACGUUAGACUAGCUAUAGAUGCGGUACAACCUUUGAUGCUUAGCAUACUUACUCAUUCAUGAAUUUCUGUAACGAAAGUUGACAGAAAUGCAGAUAUUUGAUAUCUCUUGACAAUGCUUGAGGGCCAAACACCAGAAGAAGAGAGCUAGGUGUAGCCAAGGACAACCUGCCGGCUAACUCUAAGGCUCAACAAAGCUGAGACUUCGCCAACACCGGCCAGGAGCCGGCAAGUCAUCCUUGGCUGCAUCCCGUUCUCUGUCUCUUAGCGUAUGGCUACCCAGCAGAAGCUUUCUCGGUAUCACUACAGACUACAGGUAAUUCCCGCCCCUGCUUCCUCUCCUUGCUUCCCCUACCAUGACUGCUGCACUACGUGUGGUAUGGUCUGCAAGUGUGCAUUGCUAUAGGGUGAGAGGGCCUGCAUUUAUAGGCAUGAGCAAGUUGGAUUUGGAAUAACACAGAAACCACUGCCCCCAAUGAAUUCUUUAGUACAAAUAUGUCAUCACAAAGUUUGCCGUUUUUGGGAUGAGACAUGAUGACUCACCAAUUGGUUGUCCUGGGUCUGAUGUCCAUUUUUAAAUUAAGGAUUCGGCAUCUUCUGGAUUCGUUGGUUGAGACUUAGGAUUGAGUAUAUGAUCUGUGCUUCAUGUGCACAUGCGGUGAGCAGCCCUUGACUUAGCCAAAUUUUAUGACUACCGAGAGUUCUUUUGGUCCAUCUCCAAACUUAGUAUGUCCUCCUAAAUAUAAUACGUUUUGGGAGUUAAAUUUAGACUCCCAAAACUUCUUAUAUUUACGAACGACGGGUGUACCUUAUAUUGGAGUAUUGGAAAUCUAUGAACAGUAAGCAUUCUCCUAUCGAUUUAUUGAAUGGUAUACUCAGUAUGUUAGUAGGAUCUA